AGCCGAGAGGUUUUUUAAAUUAGUUAUUGUUAGGUUUAUGUGCCUUUUGCAUCAUGCUAGCGGGAUUUUUAUGUCGUAUUUGGCAUAAACCGAAAAGCUUGGAUCUUUCUUCGGGUUGGGCACAGCCCAAAGUGUCGUGUGGAUUUUACAAACUCGUUGAAUGAUGUGAUAAAUUAGUCGUUAAGCUUUAUAGCUGUUUGAGGGGUUGGUUAUUUUAUAUCAACCGCCGGGCGAGGAGGUCCGGCGGUUAAUAAUAGCAUAUUUUGUUUAUUUUUGUAUGUUGGGGUUAAAAGUACCCCCAGAUUAAUUAAUUGUUACAAAUGUAAAUAUUUGGAUUUGUGCUUUAUGUGAACUCCCCUCUAAAUUAAAUAGGUUUUGUUUAUAAAUCUGCUAAUAAGUAAUUAUAAUAUAGUUGUUAAUUCUCGUUAUUAGCCCGUCUGUUUAUUAAAAACAUUUCCAUAAUUAAUAUUUUAUGGUAGUACCUGCCCAAUGUGUGUAAUGAAUGGCCGCAGUAUAUUGACUGUGCGAAGGUAGCAUAAUUAAUUGCCCUUUAAUUGGGGGCUUGUUUGAAUGGUUUGACGUGGUUAUGUUUGAUAUCAUCUUUAUUAUUGAAAUUAAUUAUACGGGCAUAGAAUCCGUUGUUAUUAAUUAGACGGAAAGACCCCGGGAUCUUUUAAUUUUGUCUGGGGCAGAUGCGGAUAUUUCAUGUGUUUUAUGACCCUCUUUGAGUUUAAAGGUUUAAGUUACCCCGGGGAUAACAGUGUAAUAGUUUAUUAGAGACCUUAUCGAUUAAACUGCUUGCUACCUCGAUGUUGACUUGGGUAUCUGCCCGGGCGCAGUAGUCCGGGCGUUAUGGUCUGUUCGACCUUAGUAUCCUCCGUGAGUUGAGUUAAGACCGGCGUAAGCCAGGUCGGUUCUUAUCUAUUUUUCUAGCCUAUUAGUACGAAAGGACCGUAGGUUAUUUUUGU
rnacentral:rRNA from 1 species